UCCCCGAUAGCUCAGUCGGUAGAGCGACGGACUGUUAAUCCGCAGGUCCCUGGUUCGAGCCCAGGUCGG
rnacentral:tRNA from 1 species